UUUUUUUUUUUGCUGCCCCAGUGGAUUAGGAUUAGCGCUGCAGUCAAAUGAAAAAGGUCAAGACAAAAAAUUAGGCUAAUAUAACUAGCCGACAGGCUAGCGGCAUUUCUCUGGGGCCGAGGAAUUUCACGAAGAAGAUCUCUGCGAGGCCCAGAAGGCCGCACAACUACUUCGUCAGAAACAAAAUUUUUUAAAAAAGUAAAAAUAGAGGAAGUCAGCUAGUUUAUCACCUUGGAACCAGCGUUUUGUUUGGCUUUUCCGCUUUUCACUCUACGAAAAAGCCCAUUGGCGGCUACCCAGGUUACCGUCCUGUUGCCAUUGCGCCUGCGCGGCGGUUUGUUUACCAGUCCAGGCGAAGCGCUGUGUCGCGGUUCUCGCCACCCCGAGCGCCUUGGUUUGCUCCCUUGACGUGUAAUUCGUAAUGAAAGUCAUGUUUUCAUUUGGGAACACGGAUCGGAGGUUUAAAACUGGACAGUUUAAGUGUCAACGUGAGACCAAAGAAAAUAAUGGUAGGGAAAACACUGGACACUCAGAAAUCGGUGCCGCGUCAGAGCUGUCACGGAAGAUGUUUCUAAUGAACCUGAGGAAAACAAUAGCACCACCCUAACCAGAACUAAAAAGUGGCAAGCAGCCACAGUUAAUGAAACUCAUAGGUGGCAUUUAGUUACUUAUUUAGAAUGUAGGCCUAGUUAUGGUAAAAAUGCAAAUAAGACCAAACCUAAGGUCAUCUUGCUCGAGCAAACCUCAAGCAAAACCUACAUGAUUUAAGACUGACUCUUGAAGCGAAGUAAAAAAAAAAAAAAAAAAAGCAGCCAUGCAAAAUUUGAAACUUAGAGACGACUCUAGAAGCAUUAACCCAAGAAAGCACAAGCCAACAAACAAAUUUUUGAAAUGGUUUGAAGAGCUCUUCAAAGUCAGUUUCAGGUGGCUUAGAAAAGGAUGUUGCUUAUAAAAUGAGAUCUGAUGGAAACUUGUUUUACAGAUAUGACUGGAUUCGUUUGAAAACAAAAAAAAAAGGCAGGCAAAGUGACUUUUUAAAAAGUAUUUUUAUGGAAGGAUUUCUAAUGAUACAUUUUAAUGUGCUCAAAAAACAACCUUAAAUAACUGGUAGAUUCAGCCAAACCUGGAUCAUUAUUAUCUUAGAGUUGGAUAAGAGCAUAAAUGUUAACAAUUUGGCAAUUUUAUUGGACUCUGUUAUGUUUUUGAAUGGUGAAUUUGAAGACUUCAACUUGUAACAAGAAAUUUUCUAAAAGUGGGAUUUUCAAGAGAUACGAAAUUAAGCAGAGAAUAUGUAUGGACAUGUGAACAGAUGGAACCAAAUUUUGAAAGCUUUGCCUGUGUCCAGCAUCGGUCACAGAAAAUCCUUUUAUCUCAAGAAACUAGCCUCUGGAUUUUCUCAUGUUCAAUAUGAUAAAACUCAGUAAAUCCAGCAGCUUGAAUACCUUUUAACACGAAUUUGUACCAAAAUGGGAAGUAACUUUAAAAUUCCGCUCCAUUAUCUAGAGGUACUCUGACUUGGUUAAGAUGGGGUCUCCUCAUGUUGCUCCUGCUGGUCUUGAACACCUGGCCUCAAGCGAUCCUCCCACAUCGGCUUUCCAAAGUGCUGAGAUUACAGGUUGUGAAGAUUACAGAAAUCUGGGAUGGCUUAUGGGACGCUUCUCAGCCCUAAGUAGGAAAACAGCAGUGAAAAUGGCAACCAAAACAUCACGCAGGACUGGGGGUUUUGGGGAAACAGCUCACUUUAGAGCAGUGCAGUGUAGAGCUUUCCUUCUUCUACCAGGUUCCACCUUUAACACUGUUUAUCUGAAAAUUUUCCCCCUGGCUUACUCGCUUGCAGCUGCCCACUUUGCAGGAGGAUGGCGCUCUGAUCUCUACGCUCCCUGUUCCUUCAGGGACUCCAUAGUAUUUUUUUUCACGCUUCGUCGCUACUACAGCAGACGCCUGCGUUCUCAUUAUUUGCUGUACAGAUCUCCGGUGCCUUGACUGUAAACAAAACACUUUAGAUCAUUGUGAGGUCGAUGUAAGCACAGCCUUUCUGCUGGCAGCCAGACUUCUUAAGGUGGCGUGACUGUGACUUGCUUACUUUUCGAGAUCAACAACAACAAAGCGACAAAAUGGUGCUCCUACAUAUUAGUUGAAAGAUUCAGCAUGUGAAGGGGAUCGAAGUGUUUAUUUUCCACUUCCAUAUAAGACAUGAAUUCCAUGAGUAAAAUCAAACUUCUGUGGCAA